UACGAGGGGUGCAAGCGUUGCUCGGAAUUAUUGGGCGUAAAGGGUAGGUAGGUGGUCUCAUUUGUCUGGGGUGAAAGCCUCGAGCUUAACUCGAGAAGUGCCUCGGAAACGGUGAGACUAGAGUCUUGGAGAGGGUCGUGGAAUUCCCGGUGUAGCGGUGAAAUGCGUAGAGAUCGGGAGGAACACCAGCGGCGAAGGCGGCGCUCUGGGCCGGUACUGACGCUGAGGAGCGAAAGCGUGGGGAUCAAACAGG
rnacentral:rRNA from 1 species